GAUGAACGCUGGCGGCGUGCCUAAUACAUGCAAGUCGAGCGAACAGACGAGGAGCUUGCUCCUCUGACGUUAGCGGCGGACGGGUGAGUAACACGUGGAUAACCUACCUAUAAGACUGGGAUAACUUCGGGACACCGGCGCUAAUACCGGAUAAUAUAUUGAACCGCAUGGUUCAAUAGUGAAAGACGGUUUUGCUGUCACUUAUAGAUGGAUCCGCGCCGCAUUAGCUAGUUGGUAAGGUAACGGCUUACCAAGGCAACGAUGCGUAGCCGACCUGAGAGGGUGAUCGGCCACACUGGAACUGAGACACGGUCCAGACUCCUACGGGAGGCAGCAGUAGGGAAUCGUCGGCAAUGGGCGAAAGCUUGACGGAGCAACGCCGCGUGAGUGAUGAAGGUCUUCGGAUCGUAAAACUCUGUUAUUAGGGAAGAACAAAUGUGUAAGUAACUAUGCACGUCUUGACGGUACCUAAUCAGAAAGCCACGGCUAACUACGUG
rnacentral:rRNA from 1 species